rnacentral:rRNA from 1 species
UACAGAGGGUGCGAGCGUUAAUCGGAAUUACUGGGCGUAAAGCGCGCGUAGGCGGCUUUGCAAGUCGGGUGUGAAAUCUCCGAGCUUAACUCGGAACGGUCAGCUGAUACUGUUUUGCUAGAGUGCAGAAAGGGCAACCGGAAUUCUUGGUGUAGCGGUGAAAUGCGUAGAUAUCAAGAGGAACACCUGAGGCGAAGGCGGGUUGCUAGGCUGACACUGACGCUGAAGCGCGAAAGCUAGGGUAGCAAACGGG